rnacentral:lncRNA from 1 species
GUCCAAGCCGUUCCUGCCAGCACCUCACCCUCCCACCUCAGCGUCACACACCAGCCUACCUGAAUGCUGCAGGCAGCCCACCGCCAGCCUCCAUCUUUGUCUCUAGAAGGGCUUUAACGGCCUGUAACACCUACACAGCAUGAGGAGAGAUGUACAGUCUGACUCCUGCCCUAGGGGUGCAGCUGCACCAGGUGGUGAUGGUGGUGAGGUAAUCAGUGUGGCCUUGCCCAUAACAGCCCCACAUGUGGGAGCAGAGCCUGAGCUGCCGCCCCUCAGCAAAGAGCGCUCUGUGGGCAGGCAGCAGUGGAUUUUAUCCAGCUCUACUUCAGAAGAUCCUGCUGAGGGAAGGUCCAGGUUUUGUUUCAUACAUAGUAACAGGACAAGAGACAACUGCUAG